GAUGAACGCUGGCGGCGUGCCUAAUACAUGCAAGUCGAGCGAACAGACGAGGAGCUUGCUCCUCUGACGUUAGCGGCGGACGGGUGAGUAACACGUGGAUAACCUACCUAUAAGACUGGAUAACUUCGGGAAACCGGAGCUAAUACCGGAUAAUAUAUUGAACCGCAUGGUUCAAUAGUGAAAGACGGUUUUGCUGUCACUUAUAGAUGGAUCCGCGCCGCAUUAGCUAGUUGGUAAGGUAACGGCUUACCAAGGCGACGAUGCGUAGCCGACCUGAGAGGGUGAUCGGCCACACUGGAACUGAGACACGGUCCAGACUCCUACGGGAGGCAGCAGUAGGGAAUCUUCCGCAAUGGGCGAAAGCCUGACGGAGCAACGCCGCGUGAGUGAUGAAGGUCUUCGGAUCGUAAAACUCUGUUAUUAGGGAAGAACAAGUGUGUAAGUAACUAUGCACGUCUUGACGGUACCUAAUCAGAAAGCCACGGCUAACUACGUG
rnacentral:rRNA from 1 species